AUUGGGAUCUGGGAGAGAAGUAAUGGUCGUGAAGUGGAGGCGUGUCAUCCAAAGUUUAGUACAAACUGAGUCUCUCUGCAUAUAAAAGAAAUAUUUGUUUCAAGUUUCUGAUACUGUGAUACAUAUAAAGCUCUAUAUUCUUUUACUUUUCACUUUCAUGACCCCAUUCAUCAUUCUCUCUCUCACACAUAUAAGCAAUUCUACGAAGAAAAAAAAGGUGCUCGAAGCCUAAGUACCUGCUCGAUCUUAUUGGAAUUCACAAUUUUCGCGGUAAGGGUUCCGGGAUUUUUGCAUUCAUCAACACAAGCUUAUGCAGCAAUUGGAUGCAUCACGUUCAGGAUGAGUUCAAGUAUUGCAUACCGUAAUUAAGGUGAUGAUCAAGUGAAACACUUUGGAGAUUCCCAUUUUGAAAAUCCUUAUUGACAAUAAUAAUGUUAUUGUCUGGAUUAGGGUUAGAACAACAGGGAAUGGAAUUCGGUUUCGAAGAAGAAGAAGCUUUGAGGUGGUGGUGAUGAUCAGGAUUUAAUGGCUUGUGUGUUCUUGGAUCAAUUCCUUGACUUAUCAACUUCUUGCUCAGGUGCAGGUGUGUGUCCGCAAUAGGGAGAGUGGUGGUGUGUCUUCAUGUACGCAGGUUUUGAAGGGUGUAAAACGCACGCCCCCAUAUGAAGAUGUGUAUAGGAAAGUGAUUUUGACGAUCUCUUAGAGCGCGUAGAUGAGUGCGACAAGGGCCCCACAGCCGCACUCUUUAUGCGUUUGUCGUUUCGCUGUUGCAGGAUAAUCGCUGGACCAGCGGCCCAGCAGAUCGCUAUCCACGUCGUUCUAUACUGGAUUUCGAUAUGCGGACUUUCAACCUACUGAAAAAGCAUCCAGCUGUCCUUCCUUCUUCACAUGUUUGGGCCUUACGUGGGCCCAAUAGAUUCUGUUAUUUGGACUGAAGGCCGUUCCUAUGGGCUUCCAGCCAGGAGGCCCAAUACUGUAAACAUUUGAGCCUUCACGGGUAAAUUCGCAUUAACAAAAACAAGUGCAAAAUAAGUUGUGUUUUUGAGGCUGGAUUGAUUUGAUGCA